rnacentral:rRNA from 1 species
AACGUAGGUGGCGAGCGUUAUCCGGAUUUACUGGGCGUAAAGGGUGUGCAGGCGGGUGAACAAGUGGGGUAUGAAAGGUUUCGGCUCAACCGAGAUAGGUUAUGCCAGACUGUUUACCUAGAGUGUGAGAGAGGGACGUGGAAUUCCGGGUGUAGUGGUGAAAUUCGUAGAUAUUCGCAAGAACACCAGUGGCGAAGGCGGCUCACUGGCCCGAUACUGACGCUGAGGCACGAAAGCGUGGGGAGCAAACAGG